CCUACGGGAGGCAGCAGUGAGGAAUUUUGCGCAAUGGGGGAAACCCUGACGCAGCAACGCCGCGUGAGUGAUGAAGGCCUUCGGGUCGUAAAGCUCUGUCGGGUGGGAAGAAACGUCGGAGGGUGAAUAGCUCUUCGGCCUGACGGUACCACCAAAGGAAGCACCGGCCAACUCCGUGCCAGCAGCCGCGGUAAUACGGAGGGUGCAAGCGUUGUUCGGAAUCAUUGGGCGUAAAGGGCGCGUAGGCGGUUCGGUAAGUCGGGGGUGAAAGCCCCGGGCUCAACCCGGGAAGUGCAUCCGAAACUGCCGGACUUGAGUACGGGAGGGGGAAGUGGAAUUCCUGGUGUAGGGGUGAAAUCCGUAGAUAUCAGGAGGAACACCGAUGGCGAAGGCAGUCCCCGGGGCCUGUACUGACGCUCAUGAACGAAAGCGUGGGGAGCAAACAGGAUUAGAUACCCCUGUAGU
rnacentral:rRNA from 1 species